GCCGGGUGUGGUGGCGCAUGCCUGUAGUCCCCGCUACUCGGGAGGCUGAGGCUGGAGGAUCGCUUGAGCCCAGGAGUUCUGGGCUGCAGUGCACUAUGUCGAUUGGGUAUCCGCACCAAGUUCAGCAUCAAUAUAGUGACCUCCCAGAAGCAGGGGACCACCAGGUUGCCUAAGGAGGGGUGAACUGGCCCAGGUUGGAAACAGAGCAGGUCAAAACUCCUGUGCUGAUCAGUAGUGGGAUCGUGGCUGACCUCUAGCCUGGGCAACAUAGCGAGAUCCCAUCUCU
rnacentral:SRP_RNA from 1 species